UGCAAGAACUGUGGCCACGCUUGCCCUUGGCAGUAGUUAUCUUCUUUUUGGACCAAGAAGGUCACUGUUGAGAUAGCGCAGUCUGAUGUUUCUUUUUUUUUUCUCUGCCAUGGUCACAAAUUGUCAAUCAAGCUGUACUCAGAACAUGUUCCAACAACAUAAGUCGUCAGCAAUAACAUUUUCAGGGCAGAUAGAGUUCCUUUCUGCCAAUUCCACAGUAAAUGAAGAGCAAAAGAAGAGACGCUUAACAGCAGUAACAAAAUUAUUGGGAGUUUAAAAUGUUUGAAUAAAGCUAGUGCUUUUAAAGCUCUUAUGAAAGAGGUCCUCUGUUGCCCAAAGGUGCUCACAGGAUAGAUUUCAUCAGUGCAUGCCUUGGAAAGACCAGAACUGAUCGGUGUUUCCACUCAGUUCAGAUGAAUAAACUCAAGGACAGCUCGUAAGGACUAGCGUUCCUGAAUAUGCAGUUCUUUGAUACUUGGUUUAUAUUAUAUAUAAUAUAAAAGAUACUUAUAUAUAUAGAUACAUAUAUUACAAACAGUGGUUUAUAGUAGCUACACUAAUGUUCCUGUAUUGCUUAAAGCUAUAAAGAAAUAAUGAAGACUUCUGAAAGCUUUGUAUUAACGUGAGACUGGAUAUUCACUUGAUCUACAAAUUGAUCUAGUAUCAAGUCAAAGAAGGCCAGUAGUGUGAAGAAGGUUUUAGAGUAAUGUUUGAAUGCUACCCCGAUGGCUACCAGUUGGUAAGAUCAUUUCACCUUAUCCAUUUUCUUUCUCUUUGCCAAAGGUAAAUCAACUUAAGACAAGUUUAUACUCGCAAUCCUGUAUCAAGGCACUUUUCCUUGGAGUUUUUUCAUUUCUCUGAAGGUAGUCUGGAGCACUAAUUUAGAGCACUAAAUAUUCUUCUGGAGAAAGUUCAUCCAUUGAGAGUCCACAUAAGUGCUCUAAUGAAUUUUUCAGGUCCUGACCCCUCCUAAAGUAAAAUGGUGUAUUUUAUGCUGGUUUAGGCAAAUGAGGAAGAUUGGCAAUAGCACCUGCUGCUUAGACAACUUCAUAAGUAAGUUCUCUUCAUAAGUAAGUUCUCUCUCUUCAUAAUUCUCUCUCUCUCUCUCUCCUCUCUCUCCUCUCUCUCCUCUCUCUCCUCUCUCUCCUCUCUUUUUUUACCUCCUCACAGAAAAGGUCACAGAUUUAAGAUUGGAUGCUGGUUGGAUACUGUUCCUUUUAGUGGACUUUACUCUGUAUUGCCUUUUUAGAUGUGGGCAUAAGAUUUCUCUUGCGAAUUACGCAGCAGGUUCCUGUGUAACUUGGAAACUCUGCAGCAAGUUCUAUAGAAAUAAUGGCUAAUUUUGGGACUGAGAUGAAGAGAGAGAACCCGUGGAGUCAGCAGGACUUCUGGAUUCUUCUCUUGCCACCACUCCUAUAUUGUGUUCCCAUAAGUUUAAGGUGGUUUCUCUGUAAUUGACAUGAAAGUAAGUAGCAUCUAUGUUGAUACUGUAUUUUAGUGUGUACAGAUACUGUUAAAUAAUACUUUCCCAAGAGGUGGAGAUGGCAGUGAAUUAUUGGUCUGUACCAGCAGACAGCAAAGCGUCAGGGUGCCCUUAUGAAUCAUAGAAUCUGUGAGCAAAAUGGUGUGUGUGUAGGGGCUACUGUGCUGUGCAGUAGGCUUCGCCAGGCUCUGAGCAUAACAGUGUCAAAGUACGCUUUCCACACAGCAGAGAAGGAGAGUAAGAAAUAUGACUUUGUAUUUAGGCAUUUGUAAAAAGUACCAGCAAAUCAAUGGCAUGUUAGAACUGUGAGAGUUGAGUGUGGCAAGGAUUGUAUAUUCUUAGAGGAUCCGUACAUCCAAAGUUAUUGAAUAUCUUUAAGAGAAGUGUGGAAAUCUAAUAAAAU
ensembl:lncRNA